GAUGAACGCUGGCGGCGUGCCUAAUACAUGCAAGUCGAACGAACAGAUGAGGAGCUUGCUCCUCUGACGUUAGCGGAGGAGGGGUGAGUAACACGUGGAUAACCUACCUGUAAGACUGGGAUCACUUCGGGACACCGGAGCUAAUACCGGAUAAUAUAUUGCACCGCAUGGUUCGAUAGUAAAAGACGGUUUUGCUGGCACUUCUAGAUGGAUACGAGCCGCAUUAGCUAGUUGGUGGGGUAACGGCUUACCAAGGCAACGAGGCGUAGCCGAACUGAGAGGGUGAUCGGCGACACUGGAACGGAGCCACGGUCCAGACUCCUACGGGAGGGAGCAGUAGGGAAUCUUACGCAAUAGGCGAAAGCCUUACGGAGCAACGCCGCGUGAGUGAUAAAGGUCUUCGGAUCGUGAAACUCUGUUACGAGUGGAGAACAAAUUUGUAAGUAACUAUGGCCGUCUUGACGGUACCUAAUCAGAAAGCCACGGCUAACUACGUG
rnacentral:rRNA from 1 species